GACGAACGCUGGCGGCGUGCUUAACACAUGCAAGUCGAACGGCAAGGCCCUGCUUUUGUGGGGUUCUCGAGUGGCGAACGGGUGAGUAACACGUGAGUAACCUGCUCUUCACUUUGGGAUAACUUAAGGAAAGUGGGGCUAAUAUCAGAUCGGAUACCACGCUGCGUGGUGAGGGUUGGAAAGUUUCGGCGUUUGGGGAUGGACUCGCGGCUUAUCAGCUUGCUGGUGGGGUAGUGGCUUACCAAGGCUUUGGCGGGUAGCCGGCCUGAGAGGGUGACCGGCCACAUUGGGACUGAGAUACGGCCCAGACUCCUACGGGAGGCAGCAGUGGGGAAUAUUGCACAAUGGGCGGAAGCCUGAUGCAGCAACGCCGCGUGCGGGAUGACGGCCUUCGGGUUGUAAACCGCUUUCGCCUGUGACGAAGCGUGAGUGACGGUAAUGGGUAAAGAAGCACCGGCUAACUACGUG
rnacentral:rRNA from 1 species